rnacentral:rRNA from 1 species
UACGGAGGGUGCAAGCGUUAAUCGGAAUUACUGGGCGUAAAGCGCACGCAGGUGGCUAAGUCAGUCGAUUGUAAAAGCCCUGGGCUUAACCUGGGAAUUGCAGUCGAUACUACUUAGCUAGAGUAUGGGAGAGGGCAGUGGAAUUCCCGGUGUAGCGGUGAAAUGCGUAGAUAUCGGGAGGAACAUCAGUGGCGAAGGCGGCUGCCUGGCCCAAUACUGACACUCAGGUGCGACAGCGUGGGGAGCAAACAGG